GGGUUGUGAGGUUAAGCGACUAAGCGUACACGGUGGAUGCCCUGGCAGUCAGAGGCGAUGAAGGACGUGCUAAUCUGCGAAAAGCGCCGGCGAGGUGAUAUGAACCUUUGACCCGGCGAUGUCCGAAUGGGGAAACCCAGUGUGAUUCGUCACACUAUCGUUAACUGAAUACAUAGGUUAACGAGGCGAACCGGGGGAACUGAAACAUCUAAGUACCCCGAGGAAAAGAAAUCAACCGAGAUUCCCCCAGUAGCGGCGAGCGAACGGGGAGCAGCCCAGAGUCUGAAUCAGCUUGUGUGUUAGUGGAAGCGUCUGGAAAGUCGCACGGUACAGGGUGACAGUCCCGUACACGAAAACACACAGGUUGUGAACUCGAAGAGUAGGGCGGGACACGUGGUAUCCUGUCUGAAUAUGGGGGGACCAUCCUCCAAGGCUAAAUACUCCUGACUGACCGA
rnacentral:rRNA from 1 species